ACUCCUGACCUCGAGCAAUCUGCCCGCCUUGGCCUCCCAGAGAUUAUUGCUAAUUGAAAACUUUUCCCAAUACCCCGCCAUGACAACUUGAAAUAUAGUCGGCAUUGGCAAUUUUUGACAGUCUCUAUGGAGA
rnacentral:snRNA from 1 species